rnacentral:rRNA from 1 species
GACGAACGCUGGCGGCGUGCUUAACACAUGCAAGUCGAACGGAAAGGCCCUGUAUUUGUGCCGUGCUCGUGUGGCGAACGGGGGAGUAUCACGUGAGUAACCUCCCCUUGACUUCGGGGUAACUCCAGGAAACAGGGGUUAAUACCGGGUAGAAGCUCCUGCUGCACGGGGGGUGAUGUAGAGUGUCGGCGGUUGGGGAUGGACUCGCGGCUUAUCAGCUUGUUGGUUGGGUAGUGGCUUACCAAGGCGUUGACGGGUAGCCGGACUGAGAGGGUGACCGGCCACAUUGGGACUGGGAUACGGCCCAGACUCCUACGGGAGGCAGCAGUGGGGAAUAUUGCACAAUGGGCGGAAGCAUGAUGCAGGAACGCCGCGUGCGGGAUGACGGCCUUUGGGUUGUAAACCGCUUUCGCCUGGGACGAAGAGUGAGUGACGGUAAUGGGUAAAGAAGCACCGGCUAACUACGUG